rnacentral:ncRNA from 4 species
CGCUCAGUAGUCAGUGUAGAUUC